UAGGGAAUCUUCCGCAAUGGGCGAAAGCCUGACGGAGCAACGCCGCGUGAGUGAAGAAGGAUUUCGGUUCGUAAAGCUCUGUUGUUAGGGAAGAAUGAUUGUGUAGUAACUAUACAUAGUAGAGACGGCACCUAACCAGAAAGCCACGGCUAACUACGUGCCAGCAGCCGCGGUAAUACGUAGGUGGCAAGCGUUGUCCGGAAUUAUUGGGCGUAAAGCGCGCGCAGGUGGUUUAAUAAGUCUGAUGUGAAAGCCCACGGCUCAACCGUGGAGGGUCAUUGGAAACUGUUAAACUUGAGUGCAGGAGAGAAAAGUGGAAUUCCUAGUGUAGCGGUGAAAUGCGUAGAGAUUAGGAGGAACACCAGUGGCGAAGGCGGCUUUUUGGCCUGUAACUGACACUGAGGCGCGAAAGCGUGGGGAGCAAACAGGAUUAGAUACCCUGGUAGUCCACGCCGUAAACGAUGAGUGCUGAGUGUUGGUCUCAUAAGAGAUCAGUGCUGCAGCUAACGCAUUAAGCACUCCGCCUGGGGAGUACGACCGCANAGGUUG
rnacentral:rRNA from 1 species